ACCGGAGAGGGAGCCUGAGAAGCGGCUACCACAUCCAAGGAUGGCAGCAGGCGCGCAAAUUACCCAAUCCCGACACGGGGAGGUAGUGACAAUAAAUAACAAUACGGGGUUCUUUCGGAUCUCGUAAUUGGAAUGAGUACAAUUUAAAUCUCUUAACGAGGAACAAUUGGAGGGCAAGUCUGGUGCCAGCAGCCGCGGUAAUUCCAGCUCCAAUAGCGUAUAUUAAAGUUGUUGCAGUUAAAAAGCUCGUAGUUGAAUUUCGGGGUUAGUAGGUUGGUCAUGCCUCUGGUAUGUACUGGUCUCACUGAUUCCUCCUUCCUUAUGAACCGUAAUGCCAUUAAUUUGGUGUUGCGGGGAAUUUGGACUGUUACUUUGAAAAAAUUAGAGUGUUUAAAGCAGGCUAGCGCUUGAAUACAUUAGCAUGGAAUAAUGAAAUAGGACGUUCGAUCUUAUUUUGUUGGUUUCUAGGAUUGACGUAAUGAUUAAUAGGGAUAGUUGGGGGCACUAGUAUUCAAUUGUCAGAGGUGAAAUUCUUGGAUUUAUUGAAGACUAACUACUGCGAAAGCAUUUGCCAAGGAUGUUUUCAUUAAUCAAGAACGAAAGUUAGGGGAUCGAAGACGAUCAGAUACCGUCGUAGUCUUAACCAUAAACUAUGCCGACUAGGGAUCGGAUGAUGUUAAUUUUUUAAUGACUCAUUCGGCGCCUUACGGGAAACCA
rnacentral:rRNA from 1 species